GGGAUACUGGAAUUGCUUAUUGCACCACAUGUGUUUUUCUUUGAAACAAACUUGCUUUGGCGGUGGGCCCAGCCUGCCGCCAGAGGUCUAAACUUACAACCAAUUUUUUAUCAACUUGUCACACCAGAUUAUUACUAAUAGUCAAAACUUUCAACAACGGAUCUCUUGGUUCUCGCAUCGAUGAAGAACGCAGCGAAAUGCGAUACGUAAUAUGAAUUGCAGAUAUUCGUGAAUCAUCGAAUCUUUGAACGCACAUUGCGCCCUCUGGUAUUCCGGAGGGCAUGCCUGUUUGAGCGUCGUUUCUCCCUCAAACCGCUGGGUUUGGUGUUGAGCAAUACGACUUGGGUUUGCUUGAAAGACGGUAGUGGUAAGGCGGGAUCGCUUUGACAAUGGCUUAGGUCUAACCAAAAACAUUGCUUGCGGCGGUAACGUCCACCACGUAUAUCUUCAAACUUUGACCUCAAAUCAGGUAGGACUACCCGCUGAACUUAAGCAUAUCAAAAGCCGGAGGAA
rnacentral:rRNA from 1 species